GAAGAUGUGAAGAUUGAAGAAACAUUCACAGUCAAACAGGAAGAUCAGCAGAAACAACCAGCCACGCCUGUUGCUUCAGACUGCAGUUACCCAAACCUCCGAGAGCUCAAAUUGUGUUCCUGCUGCACAAGAGCAACUGUACUACUGCAUGUGAUGGUCAGCGGCUGAUUGUUUCCUGAAAGCUCUGCUAAUGUCUGCAUUGGUGUUUUA